rnacentral:lncRNA from 1 species
GGCCGCAACCUAAGCUUAGAAAACGAAUUUGAUAUAUCAAAGCUGAAUAUGGUUGGAGUAAUGAAAACCCUUUUUUUUUUUUUUGGUAAAAUGUUAAAUUAUUAUACCAAUUUUUUUAAGUUUUUGACAGUUAUUACAAAGAAACUAGUAGCGGAAUGCAUAAACUAAACUAAACAACAAACGGAAAGUAACAGUAAAAAGAAACCGAAGCAGUGAAGCUAGCCUAGUAACCAGCAAAGCAUGAUGAGACCAAGCGAGCUAGAACAGUCGAAGAAAAAAUAUCCGGUUGCCAAGAGCUACCGAGAGAUAGGCGCCCUCAAACCUAGAAGCUACGGUUCCUACAGCUUCCGAACAUCCAACCUGACACAGGCUAACCCGAAGAAUCCAAGCACGGACCAACCAAGAAACCCGACAGACACCACCUCCGACGGCACGAGAGCAAUCCUCCACGUGACGAUCCCGUCGUUCAGCAUA